UUUUCAUCGUUUUUUAUAUAU
rnacentral:piRNA from 1 species